UUUUUUGUGUUCCAUGUGUUCUUCCUAACCCUAAUCAUUUCCUCAAAAUUUCUGCCGGUUCUCUUUCUUCUCUCCUUUGCUCUUAAUCAAUUGUAAAAUGUCUUCUCCUAAAUCAAAGAUCUACUUUUUUUCUACUCUUCACCUUCAUCGCAAUCUGACAGCUAUUUGGAGGGUUUCCACACAAUCCAAAAGCUAACCUGCUGUCGCAGAGCACCUCUUCAUCACUUUCAUUGGAGGUUUCAAAGACGGAGAUCCGCCACGUGUCUCGGAAAUGGAAGGGCAGUCCUGAACACACAAAGGUCUGGAUUGAGCCUAACAAACUUCGUAGGGUCGCUGUUGUUUACUACCUCUGCCGUAACGGCCAGCUUGAGCAUCCGCAUGUUGAUGUUUCUUUCUCCUGUUCUGAUAGACUGGAUCUUCGAGAUGUAAUAGAUUGUAUAAAUUCUCUCCGAGGAAAAUGAAUGGCGGCAAUGUACUCGUGGUCUUCUAAACAGCUAUGUGACUUGCUGUAACGAUGAUGCUUUCGGAGUGGACGAUCUGUCAUGCGGCGCGGCUCAAAGGCUCCGAUGCUCAUGCUUUCGGAGUGGACGAUCGAUGUUCCAGAUCUAUCUAAACCGAUGUCGGAGAUAUCUCCGCUGAUUCUCCGCUUGUAUGCUUUUCAAUUGUUCAAUAAAUCGUAUUUCGUGUUAUAUAUCUAAUAGCAACUUGCUAUUUAAACUUUUUAAUUUACACGUGUAUCAACUAAUAGCAACUAAUUUUGGUUAACUUUUGGGCACUUAGUGAAUUAAUUUUAUUCCCAAGAGACCAAAAUAGUCAAAUGUAAACUGUAACAUCUUUGUUGUGCAGUGUGCGCAUAAUGAUGUUGAGUGUUGAUGAAUCAGGUUGUAGCAAAGAAGCAAACAAUUUCAUACCUGAAUGAUUUACUUGAAAAGGCUGAGAAGCCUGUGUUGGUCGACUUUUAUGCAACUUGGCAAAAAAAAAAAAAAAAAAAAAAAAAAAAAAAAAAAAAAAAAAAACUCUAUACCCUGUCACACUGUGAAAUCAAAGUUAUAUUUGUUCUGGGUUGAAUAUGAACGUGUGUACGCGGAUGUCUAUUUAUAUUUCCUGAACAACUUACUAAAUUGAAACUUGU
rnacentral:lncRNA from 1 species